CUCCUACGGGAGGCAGCAGUGAGGAAUAUUGGUCAAUGGACGAGAGUCUGAACCAGCCAAGUCGCGUGAGGGAAGACUGCCCUAUGGGUUGUAAACCUCUUUUAUAAGGGAAGAAUAAGUUCUACGUGUAGAAUGAUGCCUGUACCUUAUGAAUAAGCAUCGGCUAACUCCGUGCCAGCAGCCGCGGUAAUACGGAGGAUGCGAGCGUUAUCCGGAUUUAUUGGGUUUAAAGGGUGCGUAGGCGGUUUAUUAAGUUAGUGGUUAAAUAUUUGAGCUAAACUCAAUUGUGGCAUUAAUACUGGUAAAGUGGAGUAAAGAAGAGGUAGGCGGAAUAAGUUAAGUAGGGGUGAAAUGGAUAGAUAU
rnacentral:rRNA from 1 species